AGUAAAAAUUACAUGUGACAAAGGCAUAUAAAAAGUGAAAUUAAUUCAUCAUAAUCCACGACAUUUCAUCCCAAUAUUAUGAUUUUGAAUAAACGGAUUGAUCGAGGAACUUUCAAGUAAACUCAACAUUGUAUGUGAAUUAUGAGAAGCAAUUAAAAAAACUCAUCAUUUUCCCAAGGAAAAAAAAUGUUAGGGACUCAACUAAUGUCUAUCCUAGCAUUUUUAGAAACACAGUAGAAUGAUGAUCUUCUUCUAAUUUCAUGUUCAUUCGUAAGUACUUGCUUGAUUGGACGAAUCUCAUAGUUUGUUUUUUCCUUGAAUUGCUGCAACAUGGAGCAGAUCAUAAGAAGGUACCAAAGAGUCACUGGAACUCAUAUUUCCAAGCAGGAUAACUGGGAACAACUGCAUAAUGAGCUAGCGAGGAUGAGGAAUGAGACACACAAUCUUCAACUAAGUCUGCAGUGCUACACCGGCGAUGACUUGAGCUCCAUACAAUUUAAGGACUUGGAUGAACUUGAACAACAACUUGAACACUCGGUUAAGAAGGUUUGAGCCCAAAAGGUAUUACUAAUUAGUUUCCUCUAUAUCAUUUUUCAGACAUUCAUCCAUAAUUUAACCUUACCAAUUAAUGGUUUGAAUCCAUGUUGAUAACUUUGAGAUUCAACUUCUUCAUUGAAUAUGAAAAUAAACCCAGAGAUAAUUGGAUCGUUCAUCAAUAACUGAAUUCUGAAACAGAACAAAUAAGAGAAGAACAAAAAACUUAACAAAUAUACCAGAGAAAAUGUUUUCCCUCUGUUAUAUUUUGAACAAAUGCUCCUACUAGAAAUACCAUAUACAACAUCAAGUAAUGUGUUUCCAACAUUCAUCACAACAAGAGUAAAAUGAUUAUUACCCUUUCUCUGCUUUUAUAUUUCUACCUGUUGGUUUUAUGUUUUGUUGCUGCUUGAGAUCUUCUAUUCAAUUAAAACUCACUUUGAAGAAGAAGCUCUUUGACCGUUAGGGCGAGCUACCAUAUACUUAAGGCAGCGUUUCUUUAGUUUAUGUUGCCCUUUUGGAAUUUUUUCCUCCUCUGAUAUGUUUCCAAUUUCAUAAUUGUUAAAUGGACAAGGCAGUGGUUUCCCUUGUACUA